AAAAAGGAAUACAUAACUUGGCGUGUUCCUGCUGAAAAAUUUCUUUAGUAUCCAACAUCAUGCUAAUUUAAUUUCGCACCCAAAAAACUUAUUCUUAGUAGUCUUAACCAUUCCAAUUCUGGAAGAAAAAAAACAGUGGAUUAAAAAAUAAUCGGAGUUAAGCUCUGUUUAUUUUAAUUACCACUGUGCGCAUGUUUUUUUUUCUGUUUUGGGAUUUAGUAUAGAACAGAGGAACAAAAAAAAAAAAAAAGUAAAUGUUGUGACAGGCUCUCCCCUCUCGGGGGCGAUGCAGACCAGGGUUUUCCCUCCUGCCAGAGCAACAACCAGUUCUAUUUUUAGCCCCGUUGAUCGUUUCAGGCUUCAUUCUUUCUUUGUCUUGCAUACAGAAAAAAACCCCAUAAAUGUUUUAAGCAAUCCUGUUCUUUACGCGAAAAAAACAUUCAUUUGUAUGGAUUACACCAAAUGAUGUUUUGUGCCAUUGAAAGCAUUUAGGAAACAUUUUCACAUUGGACUUAAAUUCUCCAAUAUCUGCCUUGUUAUUGACAUGAUAAACAUAUGUUGCCAAAAAAGGCCUAAAAAUCAAUGCAAAUUACAAUGAACACAUUUGAAUCGAAACACACAAUCUGGGUCCGUGAACUGGAUGUUAUUGCAUUAUAUUUUGAAUGAAAAGCCCCGUGAGCAUUACACCCUGAUUUAUUAUUAAUUUUUAAAAUAUUGUCUCGGCAAUCCACUCAGUCCAUCUUCCGUGGUACCUUUCAGGUCCUCUUUGAACGUCGCCCCUUUGACCAGCAGGGGGCGGUAAGCAACCGUGGGAAAAGAACUCUAGUGAUUGAUCGUGACCAGAUCCUUCCUAUAACUCACACAUCGGAUCAUCCGCUCCAAUGGAAACGCAAGAAAGAAAUUCCACCAACUGACAGCGCCACCUAUGGCUUUGAAGCCCGUUCUUCCUCACAACUUGAAGACUUCUUGAGCUCCAAGUACCAAAAGGCGAGAAUCGCAAGCUCCCACGACAUCAGAGCCUACGGUCCACCUCAAUUCAAGUGGAUGAUUCAUAACUGCUAAUUUUGUCCUGACGCCGC